UACGUAGGGGGCAAGCGUUGUCCGGAUUUAUUGGGCGUAAAGCGCGUGUAGGCGGCCACACAGGUCCGCUGUGAAAACUCGAGGCUCAACCUCGAGCUGUCGGUGGAAACCGUGUGGCUAGAGUCCGGAAGAGGAGACUGGAAUUCCUGGUGUAGCGGUGAAAUGCGCAGAUAUCAGGAGGAACACCGGUGGCGAAGGCGGCCCACUGGAUCGGUACUGACGCUGAGGUGCGAAAGCGUGGGGAGCAAACAGG
rnacentral:rRNA from 1 species